CCAGCAGCUGCGGUAAUUCCAGCUCCAAUAGCGUAUAUUAAAGUUGCUGCAGUUAAAAAGCUCGUAGUUGGAUUUCUGGUUUGGUGCGCCUAGCCCGCCACGGUUUCGUGUGUGAGUGUUGGGACGUUCCUGCCAUCCUUCUAGUUCCUUGUCUUGCCCCUCACGGGGUGGAGGCAGUGGGCUAGAUCUUUUACUUUGAAAAAAUUAGAGUGUUUCAAGCAGGCAUUUGUCGCUAUGAAUACAUUAGCAUGGAAUAAUCAUGUAGGACUUCGGUCUUAUUUUGUUGGUGUUUCUAAGGCUGAAGUAAUGAUUGAUAGGGAUAGUUGGGGGUGCUAGUAUUCAGUGGCCAGAGGUGAAAUUCUCGGAUUCACUGAAGACUAACUUAUGCGAAAGCAUUCACCAAGGAUGUCUUCUUUAAUCAAGAACGAAAGU
rnacentral:rRNA from 1 species